rnacentral:rRNA from 1 species
CCCUUAGAUGCUCUGGGCCGCACGCGCGCUACACUGAUGCAUUCAACGAGCCUAUCCUUGACCGACAGGUCCGGGUAAUCUUUGAAUCUGCAUCGUGACGGGGAUAGAUUAUUGCAAUUAUUAAUCUUCAACGAGGAAUGCCUAGUAGGCGCAAGUCAUCAGCUUGCGUCGAUUACGUCCCUGCCCUUUGUACACACCGCCCGUCGCUCCUACCGAUUGGGUGUGCUGGUGAAAUGUUCGGAUCGGCCGUUUGUCGCGGUUUCCGCGGCUCGUGGCUGAGAAGUUCAUUAAACCCUCCCACCUAGAGGAAGGAGAAGUCGUAACA